rnacentral:lncRNA from 1 species
ACUGGAUUUAAAAUCUUUCCCAGAAAGGUGUUUAUCUCGUAUCUGUUUUCAUGGAACACUUGCUUGAACCAUGCUAAAGACACACAAUCCUACUGAUGGACAACUAUAGUGUUUGAAAUGAGAGGUAUACUCCAUAGGCUAUGUAUUUGGACACUUGUUUCCCAGUUGGCUAUGGUUAGAGAGGCUAUGAAUCUGUUAGGAGGUGUGACUCUGUUAAAGGAUGCCACACAGGGUGGUCAAUGAGAAUUUAGAGCCUUACUGAACUUCCAGUUCACUCUUCUGCUUCCCACAUGUGAAUGGAGAGCGACAUCUCAGCUUGCUGUUCUGGACACCUGCCGCCAUUCCUCCUGUAAUUGGUUGAUCUGAUGCUGUCUGCAAUCCUCAAGAUGACCUUGAACUCAGAGAUUUAAUCUUCUGGAAUCCAUAGCCACUAUGCCUCAAGAUCUCCAUACCAAGAUCCAGAUCAGAAACUUCUAUCUCCCAGCCCCCAGAUAAGGGUCACUGUAACUAUCAUCCUGAGGAGAAGGACUGUGUCCAGGCUCUCUCUACAAUAACCACAACAAGACAGAAAGUCAGGUGCUGCUGUGUGUUGACAGAUCAAUGUUCCAGGGGGAGAGUCCAUGAUGGCAGGAGAAAUGUUGCAGCAAACAUCUGGAGCAAGAAAUGGAGAGACCACAUUCUCAACCACAGGGAGAAAACAGAGAGAACAAACUGGAAUAUCUCCAAAGCGGCAGACCAACACAGACAACCAACACUGAGGUUUGAUUGAGGUUGUCCGAACAUGCAAGGAUGAUAGCUAUAACAUGGAGUCAGCAGAGGUAUGCAUGCUCAGCCCAGCCUAUGCGACAAGCUUCUUUGACUCUGGACUUCUGCAAGUCUCUUCCAGUUCAUUUAUGCAGUAGAGUUCAUCAUAGUUUUACAUGGCUGUGUCUCCAAGAUGCAUAUGUGGCAUGCUUAGGGCAAGCCCACUGGUGCAUCAAAUGUUCAGACAGUGGUCCUGCUGUCGUUUGCACCUCCUGCACAUGGGUCUCUCAUCUGAUAAUCCAUGUAUUGUACUAUGCAGCAGAAUAAUCAGAACUUGAC